rnacentral:rRNA from 1 species
GUCUUUUUGAUUAAUAAUUUAAAGUCUAAUCUGCCCACUGAUAAUAUAUUAAAGGGCUGCAGUAUUUUGACUGUACAAAGGUAGCAUAAUCAUUAGUCUCUUAAUUGGUGACUUGUAUGAAAGAUUUGAUGAAAUAUAUACUGUCUCUUUUUAAUUUAUAAAAUUUAAUUUUUUAGUUAAAAAGCUAAAAUUUGUUUAAAAGACGAGAAGACCCUAUAGAGUUUUAUAUUUAUAUAAAUUAAAAUUUUAUAUAAGAUUUAAAAUUUUAAUUUAUAUAAAUAUUUUAUUGGGGAGAUAGAAAAAUUAAAAUAACUUUUUUUAUAAUUUUACAUUAAUAAAUGAAUAAAUGAUCCGUAAUUUACGAUUAUAAGAUAAAAUUACCUUAGGGAUAACAGCGUAAUUUUUUUUUUUAGUUCAAAUAAGAAAAAGAGUUUGCGACCUCGAUGUUGGAUUAAGAUAAAAUUUAAAUGCAAAAGUUUAAAAUUUUUGAUCUGUUCGAUCAUUAAAAUCUUACA